rnacentral:tRNA from 1 species
GGGGUUGUCUCAGCAGGCCUGAGCGCCCGCCUUGCAAGCGGGCUGUCGGGGUUCGAGUCCCCGCAUCUCCA